rnacentral:rRNA from 1 species
CGUGAGGGAAAGGUGAAAAGAACCCCGGGAGGGGAGUGAAAUAGUACCUGAAACCGUAUGUCUACAAGCAGUCGAAGCGAAAGCGACGGCGUGCCUAUUGAAGAAUGAACCAACGAGUUAUCUGCACUAGCGAGGUUAAGUGGAAGACACGGAGCCGUAGCGAAAGCGAGUCUUAAGAGGGCGCAAGUUAGUGUAGGUAGACCCGAAACCGCAGUGAUCUACCCAUGUCCAGGUUGAAGCGCAGGUAAAAUUGCGUGGAGGACCGAACCGGUGAGCGUUGAAAAGCUUUCGGAUGAGAUGUGGGUAGGGGUGAAAUUCCAAUCGAACGCGGAGAUAGCUGGUUCUCCCCGAAAUAGCUUUAGGGCUAGCCUGAGGUAGUAAGUAUAGGCGGUAGAGCACUGAUCGGGCUAGGGGCCGUAAAGGUUACCGAACCCUGUCAAACUCCGAAUGGAUAUACUGUAGAGCCUUGGAGUCAGACUACGAGUGAUAAGAUCCGUGGUCAAAAGGGAAACAGCCCAGACCACCAGCUAAGGUCCCCAAUGUCGUACUAAGUGGAAAAGGAUGUGGGGUUUCAUAAACAACCAGGAUGUUGGCUCAGAAGCAGCCACCAUUUAAAGAGUGCGUAAUAGCUCACUGGUCGAGAGACCCUGCGCCGAAGAUUCCCGGGGCUAAAGUACGAAACCGAAGCUGUGGCUGUAUACGUAAAGUAUACGGGGUAGGGGAGCGUUCCCAUAGGGUAGAAGUCGAACUGGAAGGUUCGGUGGACUUGUGGGAAGUGAGAAUGUUGGUAUGAGUAGCGAAAAGAAAGGUGAGAAUCCUUUCCACCGAAAGCAUAAGGAUUCCUGAGCAACGAUCGUCGUCUCAGGGUAAGUCGGGACCUAAUCCGAGGCAGAGAGCGUAGGAGAUGGACAACUGGUUGAUAUUCCAGUACCGGUAGUAAUUGUUUGAGCAAUGGAGUGACACAGAAGGGCAGGCAAGCAUGCGAAUGGAAGAGCAUGUGUAAGCGUGUAGGGUGGUGCAUAGGCAAAUCCGUGCACUGAAAGCCUGAGGCGUGAUGCGGAGUGAGCAGAGAUGCGAGCGAAGUUGUUGACCCCACACUGUCGAGAAAAGCUUCUAGUGAGAGAGCUACCGCCCGUACCGUAAACCGACACAGGUAUGCGGGGAGAGAAUCCUAAGGUGCGCGGGAGAACCCUCGUUAAGGAACUCGGCAAAAUGUACCCGUAACUUCGGGAUAAGGGUAGCCACUGUUGUGAAGUCCCAUGCGGAUGGAGCAUAGAGUGGUCGCAGAGAAGAGGCCCAAGCGACUGUUUACCAUAAACACAGGUGCCUGCUAAAGCGAAAGCUGACGUAUAGGUGCUGACACCUGCCCAGUGCCGGAAGGUUAAGGAAGGAUGUUCGGAUUAGUCCAAAGCAUUCGACUGAAGCCCCGGUGAACGGCGGCCGUAACUAUAACGGUCCUAAGGUAGCGAAAUUCCUUGUCGGGUAAGUUCCGACCCGCACGAAAGGUGUAACGAUUUGGGCACUGUCUCAACGAGGGACCCGGUGAAAUUGAAAUACCUGUGAAGAUGCAGGUUACCCGCGACUGGACAGAAAGACCCCAUGGAGCUUUACUGUAACCUGACAUUGGAUUUUGAUACAUUACGUACAGGAUAGGUGGGAGGCUUGGAAAGCUGGACGCUAGUCUGGCUGGAGCCGACGUUGGGAUACCACCCUUGAUGUAUUGAAAUUCUAACCGCGAGAGUAACGAAAUCCGGGACAGUGUCAGGCGGGCAGUUUGACUGGGGCGGUCGCCUCCGAAAGAGUAACGGAGGCGCCCAAAGGUUCCCUCAGCGCGGCCGGAAAUCGCGCGAAGAGUGUAAAGGCAGAAGGGAGCUUGACUGCGAGUCAAACACGACGAGCAGGUACGAAAGUAGGGCUUAGUGAUCCGGUGGUACCGAGUGGAAGGGCCAUCGCUCAACGGAUAAAAGCUACCCUGGGGAUAACAGGCUAAUCUCUCCCAAGAGUCCAUAUCGACGGGGAGGUUUGGCACCUCGAUGUCGGCUCAUCACAUCCUGGGGCUGAAGUCGGUCCCAAGGGUUGGGCUGUUCGCCCAUUAAAGUGGUACGUGAGCUGGGUUCAGAACGUCGUGAGACAGUUCGGUCCCUAUCCAUCGCGGGCGCAAGAGAUUUGAAGGGGGCUGCUCCUAGUACGAGAGGACCGGAGUGGACGAACCGCUGGUGUACCAAUUAUCCCGCCAGGGGUACAGUUGGGUAGCUACGUUCGGAAAGGAUAAACGCUGAAAGCAUCUAAGCGUGAAACCAGCCUUAAGAUGAGAUCUCUCAUAGAGUAAUCUAGU